rnacentral:rRNA from 1 species
ACGAACGCUUCCCUCCUUCUUAACACAUGCAAGUCGAUGGGGAAGUGGUGCUUGCACCAUGGCAACCAUGGCGGACGGGUGAGUAACGCGUAAGGGACUUACCUGCAGGACUGGGAUAACAGGGGGAAACUCCUGACAAGACCGGAUAAUGUCAUGGAGCUGCAUGGCUUUAUGAUGAAAGGAGACGCCUGCGGAGAGCCUUGCGUCCUAUUAGCUAGUUGGUGAGGUAAUGGCUCACCAAGGCGAAGAUAGGUAGCCGGCCUGAGAGGGUGGACGGCCACAAGGGGACUGAGAUACGGCCCUUACUCCUACGGGAGGCAGCAGUGGGGAAUAUUGGACAAUGGGGGCAACCCUGAUCCAGCAAUUCUGUGUGCACGAAGAAGGUUUUCGGAUUGUAAAGUGCUUUCAGCAGGGAAGAAGUAAGUGACGGUACCUGCAGAAGAAGCGACGGCUAAAUACGUG